GCCUCGGUAGCUACAGUUGUGGUUAGAGCGCUCGCUUGGUAAGCGAGAGGUCGUGGGUUCAACUCCCACCCGAGGCU
rfam:Candidate divison MSBL1 archaeon SCGC-AAA833K04 AAA833K04_Contig_9_C, whole genome shotgun sequence.